AUUGCUGCAACGAUGAUCAAUCCAAUCGAAGAAGCCCAAACUAUCUGCCCUAAACUCGGUUUGCUGCCACUUUCUGAACAAAUUCAAAUCAAAUCAAAUCAAAGCAAAUCAACACCUGAAAACAAAAAAAAGAGGAAUAGCAGAUAAGGACCUACUUCUCCAAAGGCUCACAUGGGUUUGUUCUAUCCAUUAGAAUUUCAUUUGCUUUCUGGCUGGUCCCACUUUUUCCAAUAAAAGGAGGCCAAGAAAAUUUCAUAAAGUUUGUCAAAUGAGUAGCAACAUACCAUGUGAUGCUCUCCAAUUCUCAUUAAGUGCUCCAUUAGUGGACCUAACCAAACUGUGAAUCAGAUGAAAUAUGAGAUGCUGAUAUGAUAUGAUUUAAUGCAUUGGUUUGUGUGAAGUCGCUUCACUUACCUAGAAGCUGGGUCCAUUGAUGAAGCAAUUUCCUCUUGCAAGGAGGUCCAAUCACAAGGAUAUGUUGGCUUGUUUUUAUAAGCCAUCUAUUUUGAUAUGUUAUUCCACUGGAACAAGCAUGGUGUGGUUUGGAAAUUGAAUUACAAUUGGGCCUGUAGUUUAGCAAGUUGUGGUAUAUAUAUCCAACAUACAUGGAGCCAAGAGAAAGGAUGAGAUGGGAAUGGAAAUUCCUGUGAGCUGACAAAGUCAUGUUCAGUGGGUCCUCUAAGUUGUCUAGGGAGCUCACUUUUAAAUGCUCAUUAGAAAUGCUCAGGCAACUUAUUUCCUCAUGAUUCUAUAAAUAUAGAUCCUAAAUGAGUUUCAAAUAGCAGAUAUUUCACAAUUCUACUUCCAACUUCUUUGACACGGAUCAAGAUUAAACUUCAGAUCUGUUUAUAGUCUUCCGAUCAUUUCAAAUAGAUUUAACAAGGGGAUGUAUUUGCCAUCAUCCCUGAUCUAAUGGCAAACAAAUUUUCAAGAUGAAAUGGGUUUUAACAUCAAGCAAUUGGAUAUUGUUCCUAGAGGUUAUUUUGUAGUAUGUGGGAGAGAUCCAGAGGAAGCUAUUUGUGGUUCUCAUUUCAUGCUUGAACCAUCAUUUUUUCCAACAAUGCCUCAGCCGAGUAGAAGAAGGUUUCGGUUUCCAUCAUCCACAAGAAGGUCUUACAAUUCCUUGCCAGGACUUCAUUGAUCUCACUUAUAGAUUAAAGCACUCUUGAAGGAUGAAUAUGACAAAAUAACCAUGAACCUUUUGUUUACAUAUUUUUCUCCUAACUUGUUUUCUUUCUAUUUCCUGCUUGAAUGUUGUGUUUGAUUACAAUCUCAAGCCUUUCAGGAUUCAGAUAAGUUCCUUUGUUAUUAAA